UUAGUGGUGGAGAGGAGGGAGUGAAGUUAAUUAGCUUUUUCUCUCUAUCUCUCUUUAAUUUAGCUCGUGUGCACGGUGGAGAGCUCAAGCUCGGGAGAUUUUCGUCGGCGUUUCGAAGAGCCGUUCGAGCAUGUGGACGUCGCUGUUACGCCGUUGGAGGCCGGGUGAACGCGUGUUUUCCUCUUCUUUCGACUUCUCGCUGUGGUUGGAUUAGCUUUUUGAGAGCCUUCUUCUUCGGCAGCUGCUGUUGCUGAGCUUGAUCGUGGAAAGGAUGUUUCGAGUUAGAGCCCUUCCUGACGAGUUGCAGAGCUAGAGGAGUACCAGCUACAGGUAGUUGUAGUUUUUGGGUUAGUAUACAUACUGAUGUUGUUUCUCGCUGGAGCGAGUAUUUUGGUUACCUGGAUGCUUUGUAUGUAUAGUUAACCCCUGUUGUUUAUAUAUAUAUUUCAUUUCUUCUAACA